AAUAAGCGGAGGAAAAGAAACUAACAAGGAUUCCCCUAGUAGCGGCGAGCGAAGCGGGAAGAGCUCAAAUUUAUAAUCUGGCACCUUCGGUGUCCGAGUUGUAAUCUCUAGAAGUGUUUUCCGCGUUGGACCGCACACAAGUCUGUUGGAAUACAGCGGCAUAGUGGUGAGACCCCCGUAUAUGGUGCGGACGCCCAACGCUUUGUGAUACACUUUCGAAGAGUCGAGUUGUUUGGGAAUGCAGCUCAAAUUGGGUGGUAAAUUCCAUCUAAAGCUAAAUAUUGGCGAGAGACCGAUAGCGAACAAGUACCGUGAGGGAAAGAUGAAAAGCACUUUGGAAAGAGAGUUAACAGUACGUGAAAUUGUUGGAAGGGAAACGCUUGAAGUCAGACUUGCUUGCCGAGCAAUCGGUUUGCAGGCCAGCAUCAGUUUUCCGGGGUGGAUAAUGGUAGAGAGAAGGUAGCAGUUUCGGCUGUGUUAUAGCUCUCUGCUGGAUACACCUUGGGGGACUGAGGAACGCAGUGUGCCUUACGGCGGAUUUCUCGAGAUCUUCACACUUAGGAUG
rnacentral:rRNA from 1 species